GCCUGGCAUUUCCAUAAAACCCUCUCAAGACAUGAUGGAAUGAUUCGAUUUUUAUUCAUAGCAGCCAAUGAGAACGAGGCCUUCCCUACAGCUUCAGCUCUGGAGAGCAGCCCUAAAACUGGACAUGCCUGGACGCCAUGCAUUUCAGAAGUGUUGCAGAUUUUUAGAAGGAAAGAAUCAUGGUGUGGAAUUGGCAGAGGAAGGUGGGGAACAACAGGAAUUUUGCAAGCUGCCAGAUGUUAAUCAAAAACCUCUGUAUGGAGAACAUGCCAUCCAGGUCAGGAGUCAAUGUGGUCAGCUGUAGGCUCGUUACUUUUUACUCAGUACCAAG